rnacentral:rRNA from 1 species
UAGACAGAAGUCAGACAAGUGA